rnacentral:rRNA from 1 species
AGGACGAACGCUGGCGGCGUGCUUAACACAUGCAAGUCGAGCGGUGAUCCUCCUUCGGGAGGUGAUCAGCGGCGAACGGGUGAGUAACACGUGGGCAACCUGCCCCUCACACUGGGAUAACCUCGGGAAACCGGGGCUAAUACCGGAUACGACCUCGAGCGGCAUCUCUUGAGGUGGAAAGCUCCGACGGUGAGGGAUGGGCCCGCGGCCUAUCAGCUUGUUGGUGGGGUAAUGGCCUACCGAAGGUGACGACGGGUA